UCCCUGGUGUCUCAGAUGGUAAAGCGUCUGCCUACAAUGCAGGAGACCCAGGUUCGAUCCCUGGGUCGGGAA
rnacentral:tRNA from 1 species